CCUACGGGAGGCAGCAGUAGGGAAUCUUCCACAAUGGGCGAAAGCCUGAUGGAGCAACGCCGCGUGGGUGAAGAAGGUCUUCGGAUCGUAAAACCCUGUUGUUAGAGAAGAAAGUGCGUGAGAGUAACUGUUCACGUUUCGACGGUAUCUAACCAGAAAGCCACGGCUAACUACGUGCCAGCAGCCGCGGUAAUACGUAGGUGGCAAGCGUUAUACGGAUUUAGUGGGCGUAAAGGGAACGCAGGCGGUCUUUUAAGUCUGAUGUGAAAGCCUUCGGCUUAACCGGAGUAGUGCAUUGGAAACUGGGAGACUUGAGUGCAGAAGAGGAGAGUGGAACUCCAUGUGUAGCGGUGCAAUGCGUAGAUAUAUGGAAGAACACCAGUGGCGAAAGCGGCUCUCUGGUCUGUAACUGACGCUGAGGUUCGAAAGCGUGGGUAGCAAACAGUAUUAGAUACCCCAGUAGUC
rnacentral:rRNA from 1 species